rnacentral:rRNA from 1 species
GCUUACGGCCAUACCACCGUGAACACUCCCGAUCUCGUCUGAUCUCGGCAACAAACCAGGGUCGGGCCUGGUCAGUACUUGGAUUGGAGACAUCCUGGGAAUACCAGGUGCUGUAAGCU